rnacentral:antisense_RNA from 1 species
UCGUCGACGAUCGCGUCGAUGUCGAUGUCCCAAUCGUCGA